UAGAGGAAGUAAAAGUCGUAACAAGGUCUCCGUUGGUGAACCAGCGGAGGGAUCAUUACUGAGUUUACGCUCUACAACCCUUUGUGAACAUACCUAUAACUGUUGCUUCGGCGGGUAGGGUCUCCGCGACCCUCCCGGCCUCCCGCCUCCGGGCGGGUCGGCGCCCGCCGGAGGAUAACCAAACUCUGAUUUAACGACGUUUCUUCUGAGUGGUACAAGCAAAUAAUCAAAACUUUUAACAACGGAUCUCUUGGUUCUGGCAUCGAUGAAGAACGCAGCGAAAUGCGAUAAGUAAUGUGAAUUGCAGAAUUCAGUGAAUCAUCGAAUCUUUGAACGCACAUUGCGCCCGCCAGCAUUCUGGCGGGCAUGCCUGUUCGAGCGUCAUUUCAACCCUCAAGCUCUGCUUGGUGUUGGGGCCCUACAGCCGAUGUAGGCCCUCAAAGGUAGUGGCGGACCCUCCCGGAGCCUCCUUUGCGUAGUAACUUUACGUCUCGCACUGGGAUCCGGAGGGACUCUUGCCGUAAAACCCCCCAAUUUUCCAAAGGUUGACCUCGGAUCAGGUAGGAAUACCCGCUGAACUUAAGCAUAUCA
rnacentral:rRNA from 1 species